GGAAGAGCAGAGAGAGUGUUAAGAUUCAAAGACACAAACUGGAAAACAAACAACUCAGAGUUUAACAUCUCUGAUCAACGGUUCGUCACAGGCAGCGUCACGACUUUACACCGCAACAGGUCCUGAAAAUAAACUCACAACCCGCACAGACACCAAGCAGCUGAACGCAGCACAGGGAUCAUCUGGAGAUGAAAGAUACCAAGCAGUUUGAAUGACAAGUGGGACGUGUUUUAGAAGAGAUGCAGGGGGAGCGAGGAGGACCCUCACUGACCAGGAGGCAAAGGUUUGUUUCACGUCACUCGUCACCAACCGAGAUGCCAGCCCCUCGAAACCUGAGUCACCUGAUUCAGUGGACACGCUGACACGCCUCCUGCUACCUGAGCUACACCAACCAGGAAGUCCCAGUAAAAACAGACUCCAACUCCUGCACCUGUCUGUCUGCGAAAUGCCGACCUGAGAGGGCAGGAAGUGAAACGUUGCUUUACCCUACCUGUGCAGACGUCAUGUCGACAUCCACACACACUUCCUCCUGAGUGACCGCUGCCAUAAAGUCAGGGGGAGGGAGGGGGAGGGAGACAAAGAGACACAGAGAUCCCAGGUGCAGCGGUAACCUGGUAACCUGGACAACACCUGAGCAGCAACUGACAGUCAACAGCAGACACCUGAGGCAGCGGCGUCCUGGGAGUUUAAACAAGUCUUUGUUUAAAGCAGAGCUGCAGCAGUUUACAGGUUACAGCACCUUCCUGACUGCAGGUGGCUGCUCAGAGCUCAGUUUGUGUUUCGUGAUGAGGCAUCAUCUCUGUGUAUGAGAGCUGAAGCUACAGGAGUCGACUACCAAUCAUUCUCACCACCCAUUGAUCUUCACAGCUACGAGGCUGGGAACAGAUUAAUGUUGGCAUUUGUGCUGGAAAAAUGACUUUUACAAUCACUGGGUUAUGUCGAAUGUCUCUACCAGAUAGCACUGUCAGACAGGAGCAGAUGGAUUAGUGUGUGUGUCUCUGUAACUGUGAGUAUUAGCUGUUCACUGAGGAUUUCAUUCUGCAGAGGAGAAUGUAAUAACACAGUAAAGCUUAAAUUAAAUGGAUAGAAACCUAAA